UACGUAGGGGGCGAGCGUUGUCCGGAGUUACUGGGCGUAACGCGCACGCAGGCGGUCUGCUAAGUUUGGAGUGACAGUUGGUGGCUUAACUGCCAAAGUGCUUCGAAAACUGACAGACUUGAGGGCUUCAGAGGGACACGGAAUUCCGGGUGGAGUGGUGAAAUGCGUAGAGAUCCGGAGGAACACCAAAGGCGAAGGCAGUGUCCUGGGGAGUACCUGACGCUCAGGUGCGAAAGCCAGGGGAGCGAACGGG
rnacentral:rRNA from 1 species